rnacentral:rRNA from 1 species
AUUUGACCUCGGAUCAGGUAGGAAUACCCGCUGAACUAAGCAUAUCAAUAAGCGGAGGA